rnacentral:lncRNA from 1 species
UGAGUUAACUUGGCAGGUGGGAAAAUAUAUAUUUGAAACAUUUUAUAAAAUAAAAGCAUUUCCAAGAGAUUUAGCUAUUUAGAAAUAUUUGGUGCCAAAGGGAAUCAUCUUUUAGUUUUGCUUACUGAGUACUUUGUUCAUGUGUUAUGAUAUAAGACUAUAAAAUACAGUUAUUAAAGAAGGUCUUAAGAGUUUACUAUCUGAAAGAGGAGACAUUCAUCAUUGAUAGAGUACUUACUGUAUGACAGGCACUAAUUUAAGCAUUUUACAAACAUUAAUAUAUUUAAUCAUUCUAAUGACCCUAAGAUGCAAGUAUUAUGUUACAUUUUUGCAUUAAGGACAAAGAGAUACAGAUAGUUUGAGUGACUUACUCAAGGCACCAACUAUGUUGACAGCUAACGAAUUAGGUUAUUGCAGGAAUUUUAGAGAUAAAAUAUAUGGUAUCUUUUUUCCACCUUUUUGAGUUAGAAAUAAAGAAAUAGAUGCUAGAGUCAAGUGGAUGUAUAAAAUAAUCAACUUGUUACUUAUAAUGCCUAUGUUUAUGAACAUGGUAUUAAGUCUGUUAGACAAAGAGUUUGAUCGUAUUUUAACCCUAAAUUGGACACAUUAAUCUAGUCAUUGUCUCUGGCAGGGUUUAAAAGUCAAUAAUUUCUAGGGUAAUCUGCUUGAAAAAUAUAUGUCAUAAAAGAGUAGAAUAGAAUAUAUGUCCUCUGCAGGCAGGUGGAUCACAAAGAAAAUACAAAGACAAGGAGAAUGGAGGAAGGGGACAAACCAUAUUCCUAUGUUAGUUUAUUAUUCCUAUAAAAAUUCACCACAACUUAUUAGCUUAACACAUCUCCUGUUCAUUAUCUUAUACUUUUGGAGUUCAGAGAUCCUAGAAUGAAGGUAUUGGCAAGGCUACAUUCUUUGUGCAGGUUCUAGGAAUAAUAUACAUCCUUGCCUUUUCUAGCUUCUGAGGUCACCUACAUGCCUUAGCUCACAUCCCCUUCCUCAUCUUCAAAAGUUCAUCACUCCAUCCUCUACCCUCUUUGUCACAUUGUCUUCUCCCACUUUGACCUCUCUUGCCUGCCUUUUAUGAAGACGCUUGGGACUACAUUGAACUCACCUAGGUAAUCCAGGAUGAUAUUACCAGGAUCCUUAACUUAAUCAUAUUUUAAAAAAUUUUUCUAUUACUCAAUGAAUUUAUUGCAUUUAUAGUUGUACAAUGAUCAUCACAAUCCAAUUUUAUAGGAUUUCCAUCCCACGACCGCAUCGCAUCCCCCCACUCCCCAAACUGUCUCCUUUGGAAACCAUAAGUUUUUCAAGUCUGUGAGUCAGUAUCGGUUCUGAAAAGAAGUUCAGUCUGUCCUUUUUUCAGAUUCCACAUGUCAGUGAAAGCAUUUGAUGUUGGUGUCUCAUUGUCUGACUGACUUCACUUAGCAUGAUAAUUUCUAAGUCUAUCCAUGUUGUUAAAAAUGCUGGUAUUUCGUUCCUUUUAAUGGCUGAAUAAUAUUCCAUUGUGUGUAUGUACCACAUCUUCUUUAGCCACUCCUCUGUCAAUGGACAUUUAGGUUGUUUCCAUAUCUUUGCUAUUGAAAAUACUGCUGCAGUGAACAUCAGAGUACAUGUGUCUUUGCGAGUCAUGGUUUUCUCUGGGUCGAUGCCCAAGAGUGGGAUUGCUGGAUCAAAUGGUAGUUCUAUUUUUAGUUUUCUGAGGAAUCUCCAUACUGCUUUCCACAGUGGUCGCAGGCAUUUACAUUCCUACCAACAGUUGUACUAGGGUUCCUUUUUCUCCACACCCUCUCCAGCACUUAUUGUUUGUAGACUUUUGGAUGAUGGCCAUUCUGGCUGGUGUAAGGUGGUACCUCAUUGUGGUUUUGAUUUGCAUUUCUCUAAUAAUGAGUGAUGUUGAACAUCUUUUCAUGUGUUUCUUGGCCUCUGUAUGUCUUCUUUGGAGAAUUGUCUGUUUAGAUCUUCUGUGCAUUUUUGGAUGGGGUUGUUUGUUUUUUUGGUAUGGAGAUGCAGAAGGUGUUUAUAAAUUUUGGAGAUUAAUCCCUUGUUGGUUGAUUCAUUUGCAAAGAUUUUCUCCCAUUCUGUGUGUUGUCUUUUCAUUUUGUUUAGGGUUUCCUUUGCUGUGAAGAAACUUUUAAGUUUAAUUAGGUCCCAUUUGUUUUUUUUUUGUUUUUACUGUAAUUACUCUAAGAGGUGGGUCUGAGAAGAUGUUGCUGUCGUUUCCUGUUCAAUAAGUGGUUCUGGGAAAACUGUACAGCCACAUGUAAAAGAAUGAAAUUAGAACACUCCCUAACACCAUACACAAAAAUAAACCCAAAAUGGAUUAAAGACCUAGAUAUAAGACCAGACAUUAUAAAACUGUUAGAGGAGAACAUAGGCCAAACAUUAUCCAACAUAAAUUUAAUCAUAUUUGAAAAGGGUUAGAAUGUGGACAUGUUUGUAUGGGGCUGUUAUGUCUAACACAUCUCAAAUUUACCACAAGGAAGGAGUGAAUACAAGAAUAAAGGGGUAAAAAUUAUUAUUCUAGUGUAGCUUUCUUCAAAUGGUAUCCCAAUGUUACAGGAAAGAGAUCCUCUCCCUAGUCAACAUUUUGUAGUGCAUGGUUCCUUUCUCAGUAGACUUUACCAUUAAACUCAUUAUUAACCAAAGCCAUCUUGUUGCUCUUAGAACAGGAGAUCAGGAGUACUCUAUUAACCUAAUUUCUAAUCACCAGCUAAGUUGUUUUAUAUGUCUUUUUUGGAGCAAGAUGUAUUCCAUUGUUGAAAGUGGGGUAUUGAAGUUUUCAAGUAUCAUCAUUGAAUUAUGUAUUCACCUUUUUUACUUCCACGAGUUUUUGCUUCAUAUAUUAUUGGUUUCUGUUAGGUGCACAUAUGCUCAUGAUAGCUAUAUUUUCAUGAUGGUUUGGCCCUUUUCACAUUAUAUAAUGUCUUAUUUGUCUCUCUCUAGUAAUGGUAGUUAAAACUGAUGAAUGCUUACUAUAUUCCAGUCACAGUACUAAGUAAGUAUUAUUUGUGGUUCAUUUACAAUUGCAUAAUAUUGAGACUGUAAAAUGAAUUAUAUUUUUUCUUUGGUUUUAUUGAAAAAUAAUUUUCAGUGGCAUUUUUUUCUUUGCGCUAUUGAAGAUGAUAUUAAAUAUUUCCUUGUGCAGAAGUAAUUUUCAUGUUUCAUUUUGGAUUAUUUUAUUUGUUUACUGAUUUUGAACAAUCUGAGGUCUAUCCCAGACCCAAGUUUGCUAUCAAGUGAAGAAGUGGGUUUCCCUUAAGCUUUGGUCAAUGCUAACUUGUAUAUUUGUGUUAGAAACAAUUCACCUUAAAAUAUAGAAAAUUUAAUUAUAAAUUUAGUUUCAAAACCAGUGCAAUUAAACAGAUUUCCACUAGAUUCCUUUUGUUUGUUCAGCAAAUUUCUUUUCUGAUACAUUUGAUCAUUAAAAUAACUGCCCAGAUUAUACAACCAAAAGCCGUAUUUCUCGUCAAGUUUUGCUAUUAGUUAUAUUUCUCUAUUCUUCCCAAACUACAAAAAUUUCUUUAAAAAUCAGCAUUUCAUAUCCUUCAUCCCCUCAAAAUAUGAGUAGCAACACAAAUCUACACUUACUGUCUAGUGUGUGUGUGUGUGUGUGUGUGUGUGUGUGUGUGUGUGUGUGCGUGUGCGUGCAUGUGUGUUACAAUUUAGGGAUGAAUGCCUAUGUAGAGAUUUGGAUGGAUGUGAAAUGACUUGAGGUAGAGAAAACAGUCGUUCUUCCUGAAUGAAAAUGAAAAGGGGAUGGUUUGAUGAUUCUAGGAUUAUAAACUGGGAGGCAGAUGAAAAACUGUGUAAAUACAGUGUUAACUUUUAUUUUGGCAACCAAAUAAUAUAAGCAAUUUUCUGAAUUUCCCCAUAAAACUUCUUCAAUUAUGGCAAUUCUGAGUCCUCUCAGGAGGAAAAUAAGUACCCCCCACUGAUUGAGAUUUUAAAUUCCAUUCUAUUCAUCUCCUCCCUGGUGAAAUGUUUACUAAUAGAUUUAUUUUCACAUUGAUUUUCCCUUCCCCAAUCUUUUGAAAUUUUUGUCUUUUUCUAUCCCUAUUUUAACAUACAGGUUUCGUGAAGGAUUUUAAUUGUCACCAUUUUUGAGAUUCCAAAAUUAUUAAUUUACCAUGCUCAAUUUUACAUGUAAUCUUGAUUAGAUAUUUUCUAUGAUAAUAAAAACAUAAUAUACGAUUUAAAGUUAAUAUAAAUUAAUUUUAUUUUCACUGUUAGGACAGAGAGAAAAAUAUAUAAAUACAGUAUUAAUUUCAGUUAUUUUGGCAACCAAAUGAAAUGUUAUUUUAAAUAGAACAGAUCAAAUUAAUUAGUAAAUUAUUACCUGUCUCACUGAGACUAAGAAAUUCUAAAUCAAUAUUUUUUUAUUUCUCAUAAGGUUUACUUUUUUUAAAAAAAGUAUUUCAUUGAAUUGCAAAAUGCAACUCUUUAUUAUGUAUUAUUUUUUGUGUUACAGAACAAUAAAGCAGUAUUUGUCAGCAAACAUCCAUAUACUUGCUGCCGCCUCUGUCUUAUUUUCAGAAUGAAAAUCAUCCAGAGAUAAUAGACUCCAGGGAGAAAGCAAACAAAUUAUAGAGGAACAACACAAUUCCUCAGUGCAAGUUGGCAGCAUGGAUUCUACAUGCAAGGCUUGUUACACUGUGGUGAGAAAUCUGCAGAGGGGCCAUUAUUUUUUGUCAGGGGUAACAUGAGCAGCAUGUAAAAGGUCGAUACUCAGUCCUGACAAAUUGAACUUAAUAUUUUGUUUAAAAAUAGUAUUGAUCAGAGUAGGAGCAAAAAUAGCAUUGAUCAGAGUAGGAGCGGACUUUGAGAAAGAUAAUGUGCAGGUUUGUCACAUUGUUUUGCUGAGUUUGUAUAUAUACCCUCUAUCCUACCUGG